UGAAAAUUAUUUUGGAAUUGGAAAUCAGGAUUGCGAAUGUUAUACUUGUGAAAGACAGCAGAAAGGUUUUUUUGCAAAAGGUAAAACUAUUUCCCUCAAUAAGUCUAGUGAUGAACCAAUUAUAAAUAACAAUGCAAAGAUUGAGAAAGCAUUUAUAAUGCAAUCAGAUACAAAUACUAGUGUAUUG